rnacentral:rRNA from 1 species
AUUGAACGCUGGCGGCAUGCUUUACACAUGCAAGUCGAACGGCAGCGCGGGCUUCGGCCUGGCGGCGAGUGGCGAACGGGUGAGUAAUGCAUCGGAACGUGCCCAGUAGUGGGGGAUAGCCCGGCGAAAGCCGGAUUAAUACCGCAUACGACCUGAGGGUGAAAGGGGGGGACCGAAAGGCCUCGCGCUAUUGGAGGGGCCGAUGUCGGAUUAGCUAGUUGGUGGGGUAAAGGCUUACCAAGGCGACGAUCCGUAGCUGGUCUGAGAGGACGACCAGCCACACUGGGACUGAGACACGGCCCAGACUCCUACGGGAGGCAGCAGUGGGGAAUUUUGGACAAUGGGGGCAACCCUGAUCCAGCCAUGCCGCGUGCGGGAAGAAGGCCUUCGGGUUGUAAACCGCUUUUGUUCGGGAAGAAAUCCUCUGGGCUAAUACCCCGGGGGGAUGACGGUACCGGAAGAAUAAGCACCGGCUAACUACGUG